rnacentral:rRNA from 1 species
CCUACGGGGGGCACCAGUGGGGAAUAUUGGACAAUGGGGGGAACCCUGAUCCAGCCAUGCCGCGUGUGUGAAGAAGGCCUUUUGGUUGUAAAGCACUUUAAGCGAGGAGGAGGCUACCUAGAUUAAUACUUUAGGAUAGUGGACGUUACUCGCAGAAUAAGCACCGGCUAACUCUGUGCCAGCAGCCGCGGUAAUACAGAGGGUGCGAGCGUUAAUCGGAUUUGCUGGGCGUAAAGCGUGCGUUGGCGGCCAAUUAAGUCAAAUGUGAAAUCCCCGAGCUUAACUUGGGAAUUGCAUUCGAUACUGGUUGGCUAGAGUAUGGGAGAGGAUGGUAGAAUUCCAGGUGUAGCGGUGAAAUGCGUAGAGAUCUGGAGGAAUACCGAUGGCGAAGGCAGCCAUCUGGCCUAAUUCCGACGCUGAGGUACGAAAGCAUGGGGAGCAAACAGGAUUAGAUACCCUUGUAGUC